rnacentral:rRNA from 1 species
UACGUAGGGGGCAAGCGUUGUCCGGAAUCAUUGGGCGUAAAGCGCGCGUAGGCGGCUAGAUCAGUCUGCCGUAAAAGUCAAAGGCUCAACCUUUGAAAGCCGGUGGAUACUGUCUAGCUAGAGUCCGGAAGAGGCGAGUGGAAUUCCUGGUGUAGCGGUGGAAUGCGCAGAUAUCAGGAGGAACACCAACGGCGAAGGCAGCUCGCUGGGACGGUACUGACGCUAAGGCGCGAAAGCGUGGGGAGCGAACAGG